ensembl:ncRNA K08E7.11 ncRNA
GAUAUCAAAAAGCUGUCAACUACAAAACAUAGAUGGGAUUGUUACCAUCACUUUUGCAGUUGAAAGUUUUUUGAUACCUCU